rnacentral:rRNA from 1 species
UACGAAGGGGGCUAGCGUUGCUCGGAAUCACUGGGCGUAAAGCGCACGUAGGCGGAUUGUUAAGUCAGGGUGAAAUCCUGGAGCUCAACUCCAGAACUGCCUUGAUACUGGCGAUCUCGAGUCCGGGAGAGGUGAGUGGAACUGCGAGUGUAGAGGUGAAUUCGUAGAUAUUCGCAAGAACACCAGUGGCGAAGGCGGCUCACUGGCCCGGUACUGACGCUGAGGUGCGAAAGCGUGGGAGCAACAGG